rnacentral:siRNA from 1 species
UUAGGGUUUAAGUUUUAAAGUCUA